CCCCGGCCGCGCACACCCUCCCGUCCCCUCCCCUCGGCAGGGCCCGCCCGGCUGCCCCCGCCCCGCCCCCUCCUCCGUGCCCGGCCCCGGCCCGGCGCUCCCCUCUCCCCGCGGCGGCGACGUGGUGGCCGGGCGGCGGCCGGGGCCGCAGCCAUGUGGCUGGCGCUGGCGGCGCUGCUGGCGGCGGCGGGGGCGCAGUACGAGCGCUACAGCUUCCGCAGCUUCCCGCGGGACGAGCUGAUGCCGCUCGAGUCCGCCUACCGCUACGGCCUGGACCAGUACAGCACCGAGAACUGGCCCGAGAGCGUCAACUACCUGGAGGUCAGCAUGCGGCUGUACCGCCUGCUGCGCGACAGCGAGGCCUUCUGCCACCGCAACUGCAGCGCCGCCGGGCAGCCCCCCCCUGCCGCCGCCGCCGCCGCCGGGGGAGCGCUGGCCGAGCUGCGCCUCCUGGCCGGGGUGCUGCGGCGGGCGCAGUGCCUGCGGCGCUGCAAGCAGGGGCUGCCCGCCUUCCGCCAGGCCCAGCCCGGCCGUGACCUGCUCGAGGAGUUCCAGCGCCGUGAGCCCUACAAGUACCUGCAGUUCGCCUACUUCAAGGCUAAUAAUCUUCCAAAAGCUAUUGCAGCAGCUCACACAUUUCUUCUGAAGCAUCCAGAUGAUGAAAUGAUGCAAAGAAAUAUGGCCUACUAUAAGAGUAUACCUGAUGCUGAGGAACAUAUUAAAGACUUGGAGACAAAGCCUUAUGAGAAUCUCUUCAUCAGGGCUGUGAGAGCAUACAAUGGCGACAAUUGGAGAACGUCCAUCUCAGACAUGGAACUAGCUCUUCCUGAUUUCUUCAGAGCCUAUGAUGACUGUACAGCAGCCUGUGAAGGCUCCCGAGAGAUCAAAGAUUUUAAAGACUUCUAUCUCUCCAUUGCAGAUCAUUACAUUGAAGCCCUUGCGUGCAAAGUGCAGUGCGAGAGUAAUCUGACGCCCAUUAUAGGAGGCUUUGUUGUUGAGAAAUUUGUGGCCACCAUGUACCAUUACUUGCAGUUUGCUUAUUAUAAAUUGAAUGACAUGAAGAAUGCAGCUGCUUGUGCUGCUAGUUACCUUCUGUUUGACCAGAAAGAUGAAGUAAUGAAACAGAACAUGGUCUAUUAUCAGUACCACAAAGACAAAUGGGGACUUAAAGAAGAGGAUUUUCAGCCCCGAUCGGAGGCAGUUCGAUACCACAACAUCACCACACUCCAGUUGGAAAUGUAUGAAUUUGCAAAGGAGCAUCUGAUGGAUGAUGAUGAGAUGCUUUAAACAUUUAUGCCUCUACUGUCCAAGUUUGAGUAUUUCAUUGUCUAUUUAAAUACCUGAAAAAGUACAAGAAGAAUUACUGGGAAGUGUAACAUUUCCUUCUUUUAAGGGUGAAGUUGUGGAAUUCCUUGAUGAGCUGUUAGAAGUGGACGAAAAGAAGGAAUCCUGAUGAGUGAAAUCACCGCAAAGUGUUUUACAAACGUGAAGACUCACCAUUGCUCCUUACUAUUGUUUUUGGUCACCUGUAGUUCCAGUUAGAUAUACCUCAAAGCUGCUCCUUUAAGCUCCACCUUAAGUCACAAGAUCCACUCCUGAAAGGUCACUUCUGUGCUGCACUGACUCUUCCAUGAGUGUGGCUUUCCACUGUGCAUUUACAGAAUUGGUGCAUAUGGGUUUUCCUCCUGAGCUUGCUUUCCUUUACACAAACAUGACAAAAGAGACUAUCUGUAUCUUCUGGGCUGACACUUAAGGUUCCUCAUUUCAGUGCUCUUCCACUAAGUUAUAACAGUACAGCUAAAUUCCAAAGAACUUUUGUCAGAUUAUGGACCAUGGAAAACAUAACAGUUCCUCUAGACUUUCUGAGCUGUGUAUUGUAUUAUUUAUGUAUGUCUUUUUCUGUGAUGAUGAAUAAAGUGAUACUGAAUCCCAGUGCACCUGCAAGAUGUUAAGAUACAUUCAAAUAGCUGAAAUAAGAUGAUCAACAAAGCACAACUAGUGGUCUUGUAAAAAAUGCUUAAAGAAUUCCGUAAGCAGUGUUAAUCUUUCUUAAAAACUAAAUUAAAUUACAUGACAUGAAACUGAGGUCACUUAUAAAUGAAUAAUAAAGAAUUUCUUCUACCUACCAA